UCCUCCUCGCCUUCCAGAUCAUGCCGCCACCUCCCUCCCCAUCCCCUCCCUCGGUGAGCCACCGGCGAGCCCCUCUACUGCCCGCGCACGCACAACCUCGGCUCCUGUUGCUCUCCAUCGACCCCGAUGCUCCUACUCCAGCCGGCAUCUGGCGGAGCAUCGCCACUCCGACCCCCUCCCUUCCCCACCCGCUCCUCUCGAUCCCGUCCCCUUCCUCCCUGCCGUCUUCUCCUUGCGACGCCCCACCCUCCACCAGGCCCUCCGCCAGCCCGAGCCCCUCGCUCCCUUCUCCACCUUCGCUCGACUUGACCAUGUCGUCGUGGGGGAUGGGGUCGUUGGGCUCACGGCCGAGCUCGACAAGGUGGAGCUCGUGCGCGCCCACGACGAUCCUGAGCGCAACGCCGGCUUCUGCUUCCUCUACUACGCGGACGGCGCAGGUCGACGGUGUAGGUCGCGGGCGUGGCGGAGCCCAUCCAUCCACCCAUCUUCCCCAAAGUUUCCUUCGACAAGUAGCAGCAGCGGAAGGACAUGGCGACGAACGUGCAGAUGGGCGGCGGCUCUCGCUCAUCAACAACACCUUCUACUCCAACAAGGAGAUCUUCCUCCGCGAGCUCAUCUCCAACUCGUCAGAUGCGCUUGACAAGAUCCGGCUCGAGAGCCUGACGGACAAGAGCAAGCUCGACGCCAGCCGGAGCUCUUCAUCCGCCUCAUCCCCGGUAAGCCCAACAAGACGCUCUCCAUCAUCGACAGGGCGUCGGCAUGACAAAAUCAGGAACGUCACUGGAUUCUGGAAUCUGACCGAGAUCCCGCCGGAGCUCUUCAACUCGAUGGAGCUGGUCUCUCUGUGAGUCAUGGCAUUGGUGUCUGUUGCUGUGCAAACUGCUUACACUAGGCAAUGCGAGAAUUAAACAACCUACUAGAGGACAAUGAGCAAUGUCGCUUGAUGAGUUGAUGUCGUUCAUGAUAUGAUGUUCUGUAUGCAGAUCAAUGUGACUAACAACAACCAGCAGUUCAUCAGCAUCCUGACUGGCCAUGUUAACUCCACGUCCUACUUCUCGAUGGACGCUGCAUCCUUCCCCAGCAGGCUGCCAAUGGCUACGUGCGUGCGCCCUGCUGCUUCUGCGCCGGUGCCGGCCACCGCGCCCAGUCGCCACGGCCAGCGGCAAUAGUCUCCUCGGCGGACGGCAGUGUGCAGGUGUGCACCCUGGCACUGGGGACUAGAGACGUGCAGCAUAGAAGGCCAGCAGCUAGGAGCUGAGCAGCUGUACACAGAGCCGGUGGUGUCGGAGCAACAGCGAGCAACAGACCUUUUCUCGUAGAAGGUGAAGAGGUCGUCGUUCAGCACGUCGGACAAAGUUCUUCAGCUGUCGGACGAGGUGGAGGCACGCUUCCUGUAGCACUUCGCGGGUAACGACUCGAGGUGCAUGUGACAUCCAUUAUUCUCACUUAGGCGAAUCUGAAAUUUUGUGAGAAUGCAACCUUUUGGGAAUUCUGGACUUCUCUUUUGCGCUAAUACAAAGAUGUCUGUUGGUUGCUAUAUAUGGAUGGUGGCCUCUAUUCAUGUUUCGUCGUGAGCUCCAGCAUGAAGAAGUUGGAAGAAGCAAUGCAUGAUGGAUCUAGGAGCAGUAUAAUGCUGAUUUGUAAACUUGUUGUAAUGCUAAUUCAGGUUGUAAUGCUGAUUGUAUGUGUCAUCCUUCAUUGUACACUUGUGGAGCUUGUUAUAUGAUUGUAAACUUGAUGCUGAUCACAUUGUAUGUGUGUUAUAUGAUCUAGCACUUUGAUGGUUGAUAACAUUUGAAGUA